GGUGGAGGAGGUGGUGGGGAGGGUGGAGGGGGUGAAGGGGGUGGUGGAGAUGGUGGAGGGGAUGGCGGAGGUGGUGGUGGAGGAGGUGGUGGGGAGGGUGGAGGGGGCGAAGGGGGUGGUGGAGAUGGUGGAGGGGGUGGAGGGGAUGGCGGAGGAGGUGGAGGAGGGGACGGUGGAGGAGGUGGUGGGGAGGGCGAAGGGGGUGGUGGGGAUGGCGGAGGUGGUGGAGGGGACGGUGGAGGAGGUGGUGGUGGGGAGGGUGAAGGGGGUGGUGGAGAUGGUGGCGGGGGCGAAGGGGAUGGCGGAGGAGGUGAUGGAGGAGGCGGAGGAGGGGGAGGGGGUGAAGGGGAUGGUGGAGGAGGUGAUGGAGGAGGCGGAGGAGGCGAAUGGGAUGGCAGAGAAGGUGAUGGAGGGGGCGAAGAGGAUGGUGGAGGAGGUGAUGGAGGAGGCGGAGGGGGCGAAGGGGAUGGCGGAGGAGGUGAUGGAGGAGGAGGUGGUGGAGGGGGCGGAGGGGAAGGUGAAGGAGGUAGUGGAGGCAAUGGUGAAGGAGGUGGUGGAACAGCUGGAAACGGGUAAGGUGAGGGUGGAGGAUGCGACGGAGGGGAUGGUGGAGGAGAUGGUGGAACAGUUGGAGAUGGAUAAGGAUAUGGUGCAAAAGGUGGCUGAGGGGAUGGGGGUGGAGGGAAUAGUGGAACGUCUGGAGAUAACGGAGGGGAUGGUGGAGGAGGUGGUGGAACGAUCGGAGACGGAUAAGGAAAUGGUGCAGAAGGAGGUGGAGAGGAUGGUGGAGUAGAUGGCGGAAUGGCUGGAGAUGGAUAAGGAGAUGGCUCGGAAGGUGGUGAAGGGGACGGAGAGGGAGAUGAUGCAGAAGGUGGUGGAGGGGGAUAAGGGGAUGGAGAAGGUGGUGGAAC
rnacentral:lncRNA from 1 species